GACGAACGCUGGCGGCGUGCUUAACACAUGCAAGUCGAACGGAAAGGCCCUGCUUUUGUGGGGUGCUCGAGUGGCGAACGGGUGAGUAACACGUGAGUAACCUGCCCUUUACUUUGGGAUAACUUCAGGAAACUGGGGCUAAUACCGGAUAGGAGCUCCUGCUGCAUGGUGGGGGUUGGAAAGUUUCGGCGGUUGGGGAUGGACUCGCGGCUUAUCAGCUUGUUGGUGGGGUAGUGGCUUACCAAGGCUUUGACGGGUAGCCGGCCUGAGAGGGUGACCGGCCACAUUGGGACUGAGAUACGGACCAGACUCCUACGGGAGGCAGCAGUGGGGAAUAUUGCACAAUGGGCGGAAGCCUGAUGCAGCAACGCCGCGUGCGGGAUGACGGCCUUCGGGUUGUAAACCGCUUUCGCCUGUGACGAAGCGUGAGUGACGGUAAUGGGUAAAGAAGCACCGGCUAACUACGUG
rnacentral:rRNA from 1 species